CUCAAGUAAGUCUCAAGUCUUUGUCCUCAAGUCCAACUCAAGUAAAGACGAGACAGGCUUGGAUUUACCAGUGGGAUUGUGUGACAUACCAGCAGAAAAUCUAUACUAACCAGAUUUAAAUUAAAGUUGUCGGACAAGAAAGCGGAUUGUGAGGGAGGUGGAAAACAUGUGGCAAAGGUCAUCAGAGCAGGACUUGAACCCGUGAUGGCCGGGCCGAGGACUCAGGCCUCUGUAUGGGAGCUCCUCCGCUGUGCUCAGAAAUCAAGAAAGUCUUGUCCAUGAUAGUCCACGAGUACAGAAGAAACCCUCAGCCUCUUCGUUUGUUCUGCAGACUCAAAGGUCAAUGGGAGAGGGUGAUGUUGCAAAAUCCUAUUUGUCUGGGAGCCAUUUGUUGGGAUUGUUAUCCAGUCGUUCAAGG